rnacentral:misc_RNA from 1 species
GAUGAAGAACGCAGUGAAAUGCGAUAAGUAAUGUGAAUUGCAGAAUUCAGUGAAUCAUCGAAUCUUUGAACGCACCUUGCGCUCCUUGGUAUUCCAAGGAGCAUGCCUGUUUGAGUAUCAUUAAAUUAUCAACUGUGCCAAUUUGGUUACAGAUUGGAUGUGGGAGAUUCUUUUUGCAGGCCUUUGACUUCUCUUUGAGAAAAAAAAUAAAAGGUCGGCUCUCCUGAAAUGUAUUAGCAGUGCCUUUGUUGGUUCAUUAGGUGUGAUAAAUUGUCUACAUCUUCGCAUGAUACCUUCAUUUGUAAAGGUCAUAUUGCUUCUAAAUUGUCUUUGAUUGGACGCAAAACAUAUAUAAUGUUUGACAAACUUGAUCUCAAAUCAGGAAGGACUACCCGCUGAACUUAAGCAUAUCAAUAAGCGGAGGA